CGCCAAUCUGUGUAACGCAAGUAAUUAUUUUGGAUUUCCAAUGGAUAUGUGAAUAUAUGUCGCAAUUAAUUCGUGCAAAUUUGGAUAUUUAGAAAUUCGGGAAUAACCACCAUGUAAAAAUUGUAAGAUGUCUAUUAUGAACUGCACAAAGAUCAGGAGAAAGAAGGUCCAGCAUGAGGAAGUCUUGAACUAAAACAACUAGUAUUCUCCGUACUGAGAUAUUAACAGGCACAGUAUCAUCUAAAAUGCUGUUAAUAUCUUUAUUUUUAAGCAUUAAUUUUUAGAGUUCAUUCCAGUAGAUAAAUGUAAAUCUUGAUGGAAUUUUUAGAUAUUUUGACUGAAAACUGCAUCAGCUGAAGGACUGACAUCUUCAAGAUGCAGGAAUGGAAGCUUAUUACAGAUAAGGAAAUAAAAAGGCCGAGAUGUUUGACAAAGAUUAUGACGACUUGCUUCACGUAACAAGAUACACAAGCCCGUGUUUUACUAAAACGGCAUUCUCCAAACCUGAAUCUUUAAAUGAGUUUCAUGAUACGAGAGAUGUCUUAAGAUAAUAUCAUCCUUAAAAAUCAUAAGGAACAAAGGCAACAAAGUCAUUUCGAGAAGAAGCUUUUCCCCCCGCCCCAUCUUCAGAUGUUUGGUUUCUUUCAUUAUGGCAAAGCACUCGAGAGCUAUCUACCUUCGUGGAGGACGAAAUUACCACCAUAAAGCAUUUACCAAGUAAAACAGACAUGAAUUCCAAAAGAGAAGGAACCUAGUUAAUGAAAUAUUUAAAAAUUAUAUGACGAAAAUUUUACAGAUUUCGGGAUCAAUUAAACAGGAACUGAAAUCAUCAUCUAAAGUUGAUUAACUAAAGGAAUGCUUCAGGAACCUAACGAUGGAGCUAUUUUAGAGAAAAGAGCAAAGCACGGGGAUAUUUCAAAAACAACUGUUUAUAUUCCUUCGAUGACCGUAGUAUGAAUCAUCCUAUUUAAGAAGAUUCUAUCGUAUUUCUACACUGUUGAGCAAGAAGGAUUACGCAAAGCUGAAAAACUGACGUCUACCCUCUCAAGUAGCUAAUGCUUUAGCGGUUUUUCUCUCAAAAAGGCUUCCGUGUUGCCAAGUCUUUUUCUUUUUGAAGGGAUGGUAGAAUAUGCAAGAUAGAAAACAGCUAUGAAGUCUUGGAACGUAUUACAUGCAAGAUUUUUCAUGGUUUCACAUGAAGAGCUAUACUUAAAAUAUAAGAAGUACAUCCUUCUCCUGUUUUCCUUCCUCUUCCGAAGGAAAUAAGGCUUACCUGGCGAAGAUGAAACACAUGAUUUCUCUUUAUUGAAGCACAAUACUGUCUUAGAAACCACUUGCCGCCAUCUUGGAAACGUAAUGGCCGUUCGUCACGUCACUUGCCUUGUACUAUGAGUCCACAGCACCUGAGCCCGACACCAAAUUUAAUUACGGAACAUCGAUUUCUCGUCCGGGAAUCUUCGACGUCCAAGUGACGUCAUUAGAUGUCUUCCCUGCUGCCAUCGAUUUGGUGUUCCUUCUGGAAAUUUCUUUUCAUUCUGUGUAUGCCAGCUGUAACAUUGAACAAACUAGUUGUAGUAUUAUUGUAGAGAAUUUUAUUCUUAUAUAAUUAAAGAUUUACAUGCCAUAGAAUUCAGAAGUUCAUAACUAAGCUUUUAGUAAAAUAUUAUUUAUAGCGAAAAUCCUGUAAUUUUUGUUAUUUUUCUCGUAAUGUGUUCAGCAAGUCUAGCUAUCGGGAUCAUUUCCGUUGUAGAUUAAACAAUUAGGCAGCGAAUUUUUUCUAAACGUUAGAAAUACGUCUUUUAGCUAUUAUAAACAAUGAACUAAAAUAGAAGGAAACACUUUAAAAACAUUUUGUUGACAGUGCCUACUUUGAAAAUAAAAACAUUAUAAUAAGUUAUAAAAGUAACACAUUUAAUUUAAUGGUGGCCAGUCGGCAACAACGUCAGCUACAGUAUGUUCAUAUGGAUUUUCUUUUCAUUAUUCCAAAAUCUCUAUAAAUGUUCACAUAAAUAAGAACUAAAGAAACUACGAAUAACCUUUUUUUUUUCUCUGAAGCUAUCAAGUAUUGCUACAAAAAAAAAAAAAAAAAAAAAAAGUUUGGUAUGUGUUGCCCUAUAACGGAAAAGAUCCCAGUACUAUUUUGCAGCAUAAUAUUUCACUUUGUCACAGUAUUUCAUUCAACGCAAAACAGUUUUCAGUGUAAUAUUUCACUUUGUCACAGUAUUUCAAAUCAACGCAAAACAGUUUUCAGUGUAAUAUUUCACUUUGUCACAGUAUUUCAUAUCAACGCAAAACAGUUUUCAGUGUUAAUGAUUAGAAAAUAAAUUUAUGAACCUAAGAAACUGUUUUGUGAAUUUAGUUAUAAAACUGAAUUUCGGAAGCGUAACAUCUUAAAAAAAAGUAUUUUCAGGUUAAACACAUUUACAACUUUUCAUGCAAUACUUAUAAAGUAAUGCAUAAUUAAUAGUGCAAACGAACAAAAGCUGAGAAAAGCAAUAUGAAACUGAGAAAACCUAUAACAUCCUUCAGUGGUCUUCAAACUGCUGUCCACGGAACCCUGACUUUCCGUAAUAAUGUAAUAUAAUGUAAUACAUGAGUGUGCUGCGACCCUCCUGGCCGAUCAUAAUCGGCCUCACGGUUAAAGUAGCACACCCAACUCAAAAACAAAGAUACAGUUAAAAGAUUAAAACAGACAUACAGUGAAAAAACAUCAAACCAAAAUUUCCAGUAUUGUUCUAUAAAGUUCAUCAAAUCCUGUGCAGAUCUAACCUCUUUAUUGCGGCAGAAGAAUUCCUUUAUGUUACCCUGUUUUUCUCUAACAUAUCGCAAUAACACGCAGUCUUCGACGAAAAGUCAUGCAUUGCCUUCAGCACUACAAAAACUGUAAAGACUAUUAUUUUGUAAAUUAAAUAUUUUCAAGGUACGCCGGGAAGCGACCGUGUCUAGUAAUUAUUUGAUUGCAAUCAAAAUCAUAUAUCAUUCUCAUAAAUUAAAUAAAUUGUAAAGUUCAAAGUUCAACAAAUAAUCUUUCCGUCAUCCCGAAAUGUUUCGUUUCUCUUUCCAAACAAAUAGAAUAGAAAUUCUUGAUUUACCAAUAACAAUUCUUUUCUAUGCUUUAAUAUCGAACGCAUCCCCAGCAUAACCCAUAGCAAUCUCUUUGGCCAGCUUGUCGGUCCUCUCAUUGCCUGCAACACCAAUAUGGGCUUUCACCCAGUUCAUUUUCAUUUAAUGUAUUUUCUCAACUUUUACAGGAGAUAAAAGUUUUACAACUUUUAAAUAUGGGACCAAAAUAUUGGUGUUAUCAGCAUUUGCUAGUGCUUCCAAACCAGAUAAUGAGUCUGUAUAUUAAUAUAUGUGCUCACAAUCAAGUGUUCAUCAAUCCAUUUAACAGCAAAUUUAAUAGCAGGCAAUUCGGCUUGAAAAACCGAACUGUAUGGUUUAAGUCUAAUUUUGUCAUAGUAAAAGGUCAUAUUGGAAAGUAUAGUUAAAUUGGGAAUAUUAAUAUAAUGAAUUAUUAUUAAUAUUGAUAUUUUAAUUAAUUAGUUAUAAUAAUUGGGUAUAAUCCUAGGGUGCCAUGAGUCAAAAUAAAAAUUCAGAAAGAAAAUUAUAAAUCACUCACAAUAGUUCACUACUGUUUAUUAACUAAAAAGAUAUAGAUUUUAACUUAGUUAGUUAUAGAUUAGUUUGAAGACUUAAUAUGUGGUCAAAGAGAUGCAGUGCUUUACAAAACUAAACAGUGUUGAACUGUGAAACUAAACAGACUAAUGGAAAAUGAUUUGAAUUUAAAAGACGGUGUAGAAAUUAUACAACGGAGCCCCCUUUUUCAAUUGAAGAAAACUAUAAGAGAAUAUUUCCCAGAAGGAAAAAUGUAAACAUGAUUUUGAAAAAAAAAAAAAAAAAUCCAGUCCAGUA